rnacentral:lncRNA from 1 species
AUUAGUGCCAGGCUCGAACAACUCAAUUUUUUUGUGACAAAGAGCAUAGCUAAGUGCAUUUACUAAGAGAAGUACGAAGUAGCAGCUUUCAUCUCUACAUCCUCGAGCAGAGCUCAUACAGUGAUCCUUUCCAUUUGCGUUCAGUUAUUCUGCGUGCUUUCCGCUUGCUUUCUUCACUGCAGCCAGAUAUUGAUCUGGUGGUUUAAAAUUUCCUUUCACUACCAGCCCCAGCGUUUUAUCCUCACGAGUGUCUUUCAGCUUGUGAUAGGUUAGGGGGUAACUUUUGUGCCUAGCUCUGACCACCUCCUUCUCCUCCUCAUUUUUUUAAAGUCCUCUUUUCAUCUGCCUUUCUUCUUUUUUCCAGCUUCUCAGAUCCCCAAAUUCUCCUUCCAUUAUUCAGUGCAUACAAGAACCUAAUGCUAUUAGUUCAUGGCAGUUAGUAUAAUACAGAAGUAUAAAUGUUAAAAUAUCCCUGAAAUUAGAACUGUGUGCAUGAUUUGUUUUUUAGUUCAAGAUUCCUUGAACAUUCCCUAUUGAUGUAUUCCAAUACCUAAAAAUACAAUUCUUACUGAGAAAACUCCCUUUUGAGCCACUGUAAAAGAGAAGAAGGGUAUGAUCCCGUUAAAAGGGAGAGCUCCGAAUAUGGUAUUUGUCCUGGUAAAGUCAAUGUCAAAACCCCCAGUGACUUCAGCGAGGUCGAGAUUUCUCCAGUGAAGGCUGUGCUGCUAAAUCAGACUGCCUUGAUUGCCUGCUCGGGAAGCUCUGCUUGAUUAAGCAGCGCAGACUUUGCCGUGCGGUCGGGGACUGGGGCAGGAGGGACGAUGACGGGAAUAAGCCCUGCGCACGCUGGUGUAUUUCAGGAAGCAACAGAAAACAGGAUCUGAUUGUACCAGCUGACCUGAGUUCACACACCCGUAGCCUUAUCAAGUGGAGACUAUUCACACAGUCACACAGUCACGCUGGCUAUAAUGGAGUAAUCAUUAUGCUGAUCUUCCAGACUGUUUAAGCUCUUUUAACAGAUGGAUCUAGUAUGCUUCUGUCUUUGGGUGAUCAUUUCUUUGGUGUACAGUGAUCUUGCUGGACUGGAGUUCAUAUUAUCUUGGCAAGCUCUUUAAGGCAAGUUGUGUUCAUAUUAUAUUCCCUGUACCUUCAGUGUAACUUGCAGUUUCAUCAGAGGGUAUUGUCUCUUUUCUGUUGUAUACCAGAGGCCAAAAGCUGCUCUCUGGCAAUCCCUCGCUCUCCUGUAGGUGAGAUGAUGGCCCACUAAGCACCUGCAGCCUAUACAGGCUUAUUGGGGAAGCAAGAAACAGCCGUUGAACUUUAUGCAGCCAGUAAUGGACCUUCACUCUUACCUUAGUCUGGGGAUAAUGCUGAAAAAAAGGACAGGUGGGAGAGUGAAAUAGUAUUACAAGACUUGGGCUUGCCAGGUGGAACACUGAACAUAAAAUUCAGCUGUAAAUGCAUAAAAUUCAGCUGUAAACG